AGAUCAUGUACGAGCUGAUGUGGAACGUCCCCGACUUUGCCGCCGAUAAGUCCAUCUGGCCCACUGACGGAUCUAACCCGUUCACAUACUCCAUGAACAUCGGUGGCUCUGCUGCUCACGGUGACUACGUCUUUGGCUGGGAAGGAGACACUCUCCAGAAAGCCAUGGACAACUCAUGCAACCUUAAUAACGACUGCCCGAAGGCCGGUAUCACCAAACAGGCCGAUAAUGUUUACA
rnacentral:misc_RNA from 1 species